GAGCGAACGCGGGCGGCGUGGAUUAGGCAUGCAUGUCGAGCGAGAACGGGGAGCAAUCCCUUAGUAAAGCGGCACACGGGUCAGUAAUGCGUGGAUAACUUGCCCUCGAGACUGGGAUAACGGCGGGAAACUGCCGCUAAUACCGGAUGGCCUCGCGAACCGGCAUCGGAUUGCGAGUAAAGGUGGGGACCGAAAGGCCUGCUGCUCAAGGAGAGGUUCACGACCUAUCAGCUAGUUGGUGAGGUAACGGCUCACCAAGGCGACGACGGGUAGGCGGGCUGAGAGGCUGACCGCCGACACUGGGACUGAGAACUGCCCAGACUCCUACGGGAGGCUGCAGUCGAGAAUCUUCCACAAUGGACGCAAGUCUGAUGGAGCGACGCCGCGUGUGGGAUGAAGGUCUUUGGAUUGUAAACCACUGUCACGCGUUAUGAAUGCGCAGCAGCCAACACCUGCUGCGUUGACAAAGGCGCGAGAGGAAGUCACGGCUAACUCUGUGCCAGCAGCCGCGGUAAUACAGAGGUGGCAAGCGUUGCUCGGUAUCACUGGGCUUAAAGGGCGCGUAGGCGGUGCGGUACGGUUUCGGUGAAAUCCCUCGGCCCAACCGAGGAACAGCCGGAGCUACGGCCGCACUAGACGGCAUCAGGGGACAGUGGAACUUCCGGUGGAGCGGUGAAAUGCGUAGAUAUCGGAAGGAACGCCGGUGGCGAAAGCGACUGUCUGGGGUGCCUGUGACGCUGAGGCGCGAAAGCCAGGGGAUCAAACGGGAUUAGAUACCCCGGUAGUCCUGGCCCUAAACGAUGCGCACUAGGUAGCGGGAGGUUCCGACUUCCCGCUGCCGGAGUAAAAAUCUUAAGUGCGCCGCCUGGGGAGUACGGCCGCAAGGUUAAACUCAAAU
rnacentral:rRNA from 1 species